rnacentral:rRNA from 1 species
UAUGUGAUCGUCUCUCGCAUAUCAAUAAGCGGAGGAAAAGAAACUAACAAGGAUUCCCCUAGUAACGGCGAGUGAAGCGGGAAGAGCUCAAAUUUGAAAUCUUAAAGGGUUUCCCUUUACGAAUUGUAGUUUAAAGAAGUGUUUUCUGUUGAGGUUUUGGUAAAAGUUCUUUGGAAUAGGACAUCAUAGAGGGUGAGAAUCCCGUAUUUGACCUUUACUUUCAACUUUGUGAUACACUUUCAAAGAGUCGGAUUGUUUGGGAAUGCAGUCCAAAAUGGGUGGUAAAUUUCAUCUAAAGCUAAAUAUUGGCGAGAGACCGAUAGCGAACAAGUACCGUGAGGGAAAGAUGAAAAGAACUUUGAAAAGAGAGUUAAACAGUACGUGAAAUUGUCAAAAGGGAAGCGUUUGACACCAGUGUUGUUUUUCUGAAAAUCAAUUAAAGAACUGUUUAUGCUAAGCUGUUUAGACUUUAUCAGCUAACUGUUUAGUUUUGAGCUUUUCUUUAAUGCACUUUUCAGUUAACAAGUCAACAUCAAUUUCUUUUGCUGUAAAAAAGCUUGAGGAAGGUGGCUUGAGAUUCGUCUUAAGUGUUUAUAGCCUCUUGCCUAUGUAGUCGGAGAGAUUGAGGUCUGCAGCGUAGAUCCUUCGGGGCUAAAUGCAGUUUGUGCUAAGUUAUAGCAUUUUAUAGACAACUUGUUGACUAUGAUUUGUCUUGUAGCUUACUCGCUUAUGUUAUUUUACCUACGCUUAGGAUGUUGAGUAGCGACAUACGCAC